CAGUCGCCGCGGUAACACGGAGGGGGCUAGCGUCGUUCGGAAUUACUGGGCGUAAAGCGCACGUAGGCUGCUUUGUAAGUCAGAGGUGAAAGCCCGGGGCUCAACCCCGGAUGUGCCUUUGAGACUGCAGAGCUAGAAUCGCAGAGAGGUGAGUGGAAUUCCGAGUGUAGAGGUGAAAUUCGUAGAUAUUCGGAAGAACACCAGUGGCGAAGGCGGCUCACUGGACGCGUAUUGACGCUGAGGUGCGAAAGCGUGGGGAGCAAACAGGAUUAGAUACCCCUGUAGUCCCUGUCUCUUAUAA
rnacentral:rRNA from 1 species